CCCAGACUCCUACGGGAGGCAGCAGUGGGGAAUAUUGCACAAUGGGGGAAACCCUGAUGCAGCGACGCCGCGUGAGCGAUGAAGUAUUUCGGUAUGUAAAGCUCUAUCAGCAGGGAAGAAGAUGACGGUACCUGACUAAGAAGCCCCGGCUAACUACGUGCCAGCAGCCGCGGUAAUACGUAGGGGGCAAGCGUUAUCCGGAUUUACUGGGUGUAAAGGGAGCGUAGACGGCGAUGCAAGCCAGAUGUGAAAGCCCGGGGCUCAACCGCGGAAUGGCUUUGGAAACUUUUUUGCUGGAGUACCGGAGAGGUAAGCGGAAUUCCUAGUGUAGCGGUGAAAUGCGUAGAUAUUAGGAGGAACACCAGUGGCGAAGGCGGCUUACUGGACGGUAACUGACGUUGAGGCUCGAAAGCGUGGGGAGCAAACAGGAUUAGAUACCCCAGUA
rnacentral:rRNA from 1 species